rnacentral:tRNA from 1 species
UAGUAUUUGGCUUAGUGGUAGAGUGCUUGCCUAGCAUGCAUGAAGCCCUGGGUUCAAUUCCUCAGUACCAC